rnacentral:miRNA from 1 species
AUAAGUGUUGGGACCCACGC